UACAGGGGGUGCAAGCGUUACUCGGAAUCAUUGGGCGUAAAGAGCGUGUAGGCUGUCUAUUAAGUUUGGUGUGAAAGCCCCGGGCCCAAUCCGGGAAGAGCAUUGAAUACUGAUAGACUAGAGUAUGGGAGGGGUUAGUGGAAUUCCUGGUGUAGAGGUGAAAUUCGUAGAUAUCAGGAGGAACAACAGUGGCGAAGGCGACUAACUGGACCAUUACUGACGCUAAGGCGCGAAAGCGUGGGGAGCAAACAGG
rnacentral:rRNA from 1 species